GGGGAUGUUUAUGGAUUCGACGGGAUUGGUCGGGUGUCUCGGUUGCAUGUCGAUAAUUUCGGGUAAAUCGUAAAAGAUCCCGGAAACGUACAAUAAAUGCAAAUGAAAAUUACGCACUAGC
rnacentral:tmRNA from 1 species